GAAUGAAGGAACCAUGGUGAUGUGCACAGGAAUUGAAUAGGAUCUCUAGGCCUACCCUCUCUGAUGCCUUUCGGCUUUCAUUUGCGGGCAUGGUUCCGUAGCAAAACA